rnacentral:rRNA from 1 species
AUUGAACGCUGGCGGCAUGCCUUACACAUGCAAGUCGAACGGCAGCACGGACUUCGGUCUGGUGGCGAGUGGCGAACGGGUGAGUAAUGUAUCGGAACGUACCUUUCAGUGGGGGAUAACGUAGCGAAAGUUACGCUAAUACCGCAUAUUCUGUGAGCAGGAAAGCAGGGGAUCGCAAGACCUUGCGCUGAUUGAGCGGCCGAUAUCAGAUUAGCUAGUUGGUGGGGUAAAGGCCUACCAAGGCUACGAUCUGUAGCGGGUCUGAGAGGAUGAUCCGCCACACUGGAACUGAGACACGGUCCAGACUCCUACGGGAGGCAGCAGUGGGGAAUCUUGCGCAAUGGGCGAAAGCCUGACGCAGCAACGCCGCGUGGGGGAUGAAGGCUCUCGGGUUGUAAACCCCUUUCAGCAGGGACGAAUCAAGACGGUACCUGCAGAAGAAGCCCCGGCUAACUACGUGCCAGCAGCCGCGGUAAU